rfam:Musa acuminata subsp. malaccensis Doubled-haploid Pahang (DH-Pahang) genomic chromosome, chr8
AUAUUGCAGGCAUGAUGAAUCAAUUAGAUGUGCGAAUAGAAGUUUUCUCAUGUGCUCAACUUUUGAGGCAUAUUAGAAUUCUGACCUGCCAAAU